GACGAACGCUGGCGGCGUGCUUAACACAUGCAAGUCGAACGAAGAGCGACGGAAGCUUGCUUCUAUCAAUUUUCGUGGCGCACGGGUGUGUAACGCGUAAUCAAUCUGUCCUUCAGAGGGGGACAACAGUUGGAAACGACCGCUAAUACCGCAUACGAUUUAACCUCGGCAUCGAGGAUAGAUGAACGGUGGCCCCUACACUUAAGCUAUCAUUGAAGGAGCGUAAUCUGUCUGAUUAGCUAGGUGGGUGGGGAAGGGCCCAUCAAGGCGAGGUAUAGUAGCCGGUCUGGAGGGGUGGACGGCCACAUUGGGACUGGGACACGGCCCAGACUCCUACGGGAGGGAGCAGGGGGGAAUCUUCCGGAAAGGACGGAAGGCUGACGGGGGCAAGCCGGGUGGGUGAUGGAGGCUCUCGGGUUGUAAAGAUCUGUUUAUCGGGAAGGAAGGCAUUCUUGCGAAUAGUGGGAAGGAUUGACGGUACCGGAACAGAAAGCCACGGCUAACUACGUG
rnacentral:rRNA from 1 species